rnacentral:rRNA from 1 species
AUGGAGGUGGUGGUGCGCACGGUGCCCGGCGGCCGGAGCUGCUUCGUCGCGCUUCCCCUCCCCGUCAUCCAAGCCCUCGAGCGCACCGCCGCCGCCGGCUCCCUCCCCGCGGUCCUCGCCCUCGAGCUGCGCGGCCCCGACGGGGCGCGCUGGCGUCUCGCCUGGGCAGGCGCCGUCUCCGCCUCCGCCUCCCCAGAUGCCGUCGAGGUUUCUCAACAAUUUGCUGCAUGCAUUUCGCUACCUGACAGUACGAAAGCAUCACUGAGUGCUAUUUCUGUGUUGCCAAAAGCCAAAUUUGUAUCUGUGGAGCCAAUAAGUGAGGAGGACUGGGAAGUAUUGGAGCUUAACUCAGAGUUGGCAGAAGAGGCCAUUUUGAAACAGGUUGGUAUUAUUUAUGAUGGUAUGAAAUUUCCCUUAUGGUUGCAUGGCCAUAAUGUUGUGGAAUUUCUUGUUAUUUCAGCAUCACCUAGUAACUCAAUAGUUCAACUUGUUCCUGGAACUGAAGUUGCUGUUGCACCAAAGAAACGAAAAGGCGAUGCAAAUUCUAUUGAGUGUGCCCCUAAACAAGAUUUACUCAAAGCACAGCCCCAUAAAAAGGCACUCCUCCGUGUUCAGGAAGCAGGAGGGAAAUAUGUAGAUCGAUUUGAAUAUAACGGAAUUCAACUGGGUGUGUUUGUUACAUAUGCUGUACAGAUUCACCCAGAUACUGCUGUAAAAUUGUCUCUCAGUAAUCUUCAGUUGGUGAGUAUCACCCCUAAAUUCUCUCCAAAGGAUAGUACAGAAAAUGGAAAAGGAUCUGAUCAGCAGAUCAAGGGUUCAGUGCCUGGUAUGAAGAAGAAUAGGCACAUUGUUGUGCACAUCAUAUUAUCAGAUUCUGUUGCUAAAGAACAUAUUAUGCUUCCUCAAUCCAUCCGCUGUUACAUUGGAACAUGUGUUCAUGCAUGGGUUUAUGUGCAGAGAUUCUCACCCGCUGUAAAUAAGAAUACACCGUCAAUAACAAUUCGUCCACUCCACUUUAAGAUGCUGGAGAGAAAUUCUGAUAAUAACAGUGCAUUAGACUGUCAAGAACAGGAUAUUUUCCCAACGCUGGGUGAGAUAUCUUUAGCUGAUGAUCCUCUCGCGGAUGAUAACAUCAGCAUGUCGCGUGGGUUCAAUGAUAUUACUGCAGCUGCAAAUUGGGAGGAAAGUGUUAAACUGAAACAGGAGAGGUCUUUCAUUAGAUCAUGGCUUAUUGGGCAGCUAAAGGGAAUCUCCUCUCACAUUGCCCAACCUGAACUAAACACAGUGCUUCUGCCGUCUGAAACAUUACUUCACUUUCAAGUGAUUGAUCAAUCAAGAGGCGGUCCUGUUGACCUCAUUUACCUCUUGACGACUACCUCUGAUUUUGGUGUUAAGCACAAGAAAAAUGAACUUGUCACAGCAACUGAGUAUGGUAUUGAUAACUUUGAACAGGCUCUUCAGAAGUUGGAGUUGAAUAAGGCUAUAUCCCUUGAUUCAACAAUGGAACGAGCAAGGAAAUUCUUUGACAGAGGUCUUUCUUCUUUAAGUUGGCUGGAGAACGAAUUUUCUGAUAUAGAAAAAAGGUUAAGUGUCCUUUUGUCUUCAGCAUCUCUAAAAUUAUUGAGUAGAAUAAAGUGUCCCUAUCCAGGAAAUGUUCUUGUAUAUGGCCCUCCAGGUUCUGGGAAAACAACCUUAUGCAAAGCUGUUGCAAGACACUUUGAAGAGCAUAAAGAAAUUCUGGCUCAUGUGGUUUAUGUAGACUGCUCAAAGCUAGCUACUGAGAAGAAUAAGAAGCAGCUUCAGCAAAUUGCAGACUAUAUCUAUGAAGCUAUUGUUCACUCCCCUUCAGUUGUAAUAUUCGAUGAUCUGGACAGUCUAAUUUCAUUCUCCCCGGACAACCUAAAAUCUCAGUCGUCCAAUUCUAGUGCUAUUGUGAAAUAUUUGAUAGACAUGCUAGAUGAGUACAGAGAUAAAAGUCAUGGCAUGUGUGGGUAUGGACCUGUUUCAUUUCUGGCUUCAGCUAAGUCACUUAAGUGUCUUCCUCAAGAGUUGACUUCCUCAGGGAGAUUUGAUCUUCAUGUCCAAGUUCCUGGUUUGUCUGUGUCUGCUCGUAUAGAGAUACUGAGGCAGACAAUUGUCAAGCUUCACUUACUAUGUUCUGCGGAAAUCAUCAGCAACAUUGCUUCGAAAUGUGAUGGUUAUGAUGCAUAUGAUUUGGAAAUCUUGGUUGAUAACGCUGUGCUUGCUGCUUCGGAUCGUUUGCUUGGGUCUUCUACUGUAAAUCUGGUGGAGGAAGACUUCCUGAAAGCCAUGAGGAAUUUUUCUCCUGUUGCGAUGCGUGAUAUUAGUAAAUUUUCGCCUGAAAUUAGCAAUGGAUGGGAAGAUGUCGGAGGACUUUCCGAAGUUGUAAAUAUUAUUAAAGAGACUAUUGAAUUGCCACUAAAAUAUCCGAAGUUUUUUGUUGGGGCUCCUGUAAGGCUGCGAUCGAACAUCCUCCUGUAUGGCCCAACAGGCUGUGGCAAAACCCAUGUUGUGAAAUCUGUAGCUGCUGCGUAUUCUUUACGGUUCAUUCCAAUCAAGGGGCCAGAAUUGAUGAAUAUGUACAUUGGUUCUACUGAGCAAUAUGUUCGUGAUACAUUUGCAAAGGCAGCUGCUGCAGCACCUUGUUUACUUUUCUUUGACGAAUUCGAGUCUCUUGUACCACAGCGAGGAAAACAUGGUACACAAGUUACUGAUCGUGUUGUCAACCAGUUUUUGACCGAAUUAGAUGGUGUAGAAGCUCUGACAGGAGUAUUUGUAUUUGCUGCCACCAACAAGCCGCGCGAAAUUGAUGCUGCACUAUUACGACCUGGAAGAUUUGAUCGGCUUGUAUUUUGCGACUUUCCGCAAAAGAAUGAGCGUCUGGACAUUCUCAGGGUGCUCUCCAAGGAGCUUCCUCUGGCAAGCGACGCCGAUCUGGAACUUGUCGCAUCAAUGACGGAAGGGUUCAGCGGUGCCGAUCUCAAAGCUAUACUCACGGACGCUGGGCUGGAAGCCGCCAAGGAGGCUGUGCGAUGCCAACCCGGAGACGGUAUUGGUGAUAUCCCUCAAGAGCUGCCUCUUAUCGCCAGGGGAACUCUCAUGUCUGUUGCUUCAGAGGCUAGGCCAUCGACCUCGGAGGAGGAUAGGAGGAGCUUGAGGGAGAUGUUCAGCCAAUUCUCAACCUCUAGGAAAUCUUCGAUUUCCACCGAGAAGAGAAGGGAAGCAAAUGGCCAGGGCCAGAGAGUAGCUGUAGCCGAGUCAUGA